CAGUAGCCACGGUAAUACAGAGGGUGCGAGCGUUAAUCGGAUUUACUGGGCGUAAAGCGUGCGUAGGCGGCUUCUUAAGUCGGAUGUGAAAUCCCUGAGCUUAACUUAGGAAUUGCAUUAGAUACUGGGAAGCUAGAGUAUGGGAGAGGAUGGUAGAAUUCCAGGUGUAGCGGUGAAAUGCGUAGAGAUCUGGAGGAAUACCGAUGGCGAAGGCAGCCAUCUGGCCUAAUACUGACGCUGAGGUACGAAAGCAUGGGGAGCAAACAGGAUUAGAUACCCCCGUAGUCCCUGUCUCUUAUAC
rnacentral:rRNA from 1 species